rnacentral:lncRNA from 1 species
GUUGCAGCGAGGACGCUCUACCGCCGACUCCUGGGCGACCCCACCGCUCCCCUCCAGUCCUCUGGUCUCCUUCCUCCGGGUGAAGGGGAUGCCAACAGCUCCCUCGCGGGGAGCCUUUUCCUCGCGUGCGCGUGCGGCUCUGUGCUGAGCGUGCUGCAAUAAAGCCUGGCCUGACAGGCUCACAAUGCAAAUGAGGAAACCGAGGCCCCCUGAGGUCAAGUCGCUGCCCUAGGUCACGCAGCUGGGAGUAGUAGAAACCCUCUCCUCUGAAUCCUUGGGGCAUGUAAGCAUCAGAGGUCCUGGAGAAGACCCUGCCACCCCCGUGUCCUCUGGGUGAAGAUAACAGGUAGGAAGAACCCUGGUGGGGAAGAGGACCAGGUAAGGAGGGGACAAACCAGAAGAGGGGAGGGCAGGAAGGGAGGGAUAUGUAGAGAAGUUUUUUACUUUAUCCUGUCAAAACUGUCUUUAUAUAGUUUGUUGAAAAUUAAUUUUGUAAUUCAAAACUUCAGAAAAAAUCCUACUGCCCUUUGUAGUCCCAUGCCAAUUCCACUGUCCCACGUGGCUGUCCCUGACCAGCAUGGAUUCCCAGGGCUGCAAGGGUACCUGGGGAGGGAUGUGCAUGUCCUGCUGUGGCCUGCACUUGUGAGAAUUGCAAGCCCAGGCCCCUUCUUCCACGCCUGCAUUCCUGACUUGCAGGGGAAGCGCCAGGCGGAGUCUUCGGACCACCACGGCUAUCAUGGUGGUCUUGAGUAGUCUUUGCAUAGUGUUGGUGGUGGUCUUAGGAACACCAGAACAUUUUUGACAAGGCAACAGCCCCGGGGGACCCUGUCUGGCCACUGGGACCCUGUCCAGUGGUCCCCAGGCAUGUGCUCCAUGCCCAUGGGGACACUGUCAACCCUGCUCACCCCAUCUCUGGAGUUGGGGGUUUUCAUCCAGUUCUGAGCUAUAACAUAGCUGGUGGAUUGGAGUUAGGACUCACUGAGGCCGUGACCUGAAAACCCAGCCCAGGCAGCACAGCUGGGAGGAAGUGUCUCAGGGACAAAGACAUGGGCCCUGAUGUCCUGGAUGAAGCACUGGGACUCCUGGUACAACUCAUGUGUCCUGUGAAGGCAGAAACACACAGUAACAUCCCCAAGAGAAACUGGCCACCUGCCUGUCACUUGGAGAGGCCAUGAGAGGGAGCUGCUGCCAGGAACAGAGGAGCCACUGUCACCUGGGCAUCAAAUGGGACGUCUUUUCUGUAUGGUGAGCAGCUUUGGAAGACAGAGACGGUGAUUUUCUGAUUUCCUCUCCGCCGGCCUGGCCCGGCCCGGACCAAGAGUUUGUUCCCUCAUGGUCACCUGAGCUGCGCCCAGGGCGUGGGAAACUGUCGCAGGCCUGAAGUUCACACUGCCUGUGGCUCAUCUCCGAUCCCUCACUGCCUGCAGUGAGCCCAGACUGUGCAAAUGACUGCAAAACCCCAGCACGUGUCCCCUCUGCAAUGCUGUUUCUCAUUUUCCCUUCGGUCUGCUUAUCCCCAGCAUUCAUCGUGAAGCCCCAGCUGUGAGCCUCCGCCUCGACAGAGAACCCUAGGACCUCCUGCUCCACCCCAGAGAGCUG